GGAGUCUAGCAUGUGCGCGAGUCAUUGGGACUUGAAUUGAAACCUAAAGGCAUAAUGAAAGUGAAGGUAUACACUUUUGUGUAUACUUAGGGAAGAUGAGUUAUCCAAAGUGAUAGCUUCGCACUCCCGGGGCGUCUCGCAAUUUCUUUCUUCUACUGGUACAGUUGUUGUCUUUCUUUGAAAGUAACAGUUGUCUCUGGUGUUGACAAUGGGAUUAGGCGCACCCAUAGCGUACACGCUGGGACCCGAAAGAUGGUGAACUAUGCCUGGUCAGGACGAAGUCAGGGGAAACCCUGAUGGAGGUCCGUAGCGAUUCUGACGUGCAAAUCGAUCGUAAGAACUGGGUAUAGGGGCGAAAGACUAAUCGAACCAUCUAGUAGCUGGUUCCCUCCGAAGUUUCCCUCAGGAUAGCUGGCGCUUAUUUCUAUAUGGAAUAUUGCGCAUUAUUAUUAUUAUUUUACGAUGAUGGUGAUGAUGUAAUUGACAAUGUUCUUUACUAUAUAUAGUAAAGAGUCUCAUCCGGUAAAGCGAAUGAUUAGAGGCAUUGGGGUCGAAACGGCCUCAACCUAUUCUCAAACUUUAAAUGGGUGAGAUCUUCGGCUUGCUUAAAUAAUGAAGCCGCAAGAUCGGAUCAGAGUGCCAAGUGGGCCAUUUUUGGUAAGCAGAACUGGCGCUGUGGGAUGAACCAAACGUAAAGUUAAAGCGCCUAAAUUAACGCUUAUGGGAUACCAUGAAAGGCGUUGGUAACUUAAGACAGCAGGACGGUGGCCAUGGAA
rnacentral:rRNA from 1 species